rnacentral:misc_RNA from 1 species
UCCUCUUUACAGAGGCAGUUCGUUUCGAGUCCCCGCCAUUACGCGCUGGUAACAAAACGUGAGGGUUGCGCUCGUUGCGGGACUUAACCCAACAUUUCACAACACGAGCUGACGACAGCCAUGCACCACCUGUGGAUCACCCUCGAAGGCGACUCACUUUCGUGAGCUUGCAGAUCCAUGUCAAGCCUGGGUAAGGUUCUUCGCGUUGCAUCGAAUUAAGCCACAUGCUCCACCGCUUGUGCGGGCCCCCGCCAAUUCCUUUGAGUUUCAACCUUGCGGCCGUAGUCCCCAGGCGGUUCACUUAAUGCGUUAGCUGCGGCACCGAAGGUUACCCCCCGACACCUAGUGAACAUCGUUUAAGGCCAAGACUAC